GUUUCCGUAGCUUAGUGGUCAUCACGUGCGCCUAACACACGCAAGAUCCACAGUUCAAUCCUGGGCGGAAACA